AGUGAACGCUGGCGGCGUGCCUAAUACAUGCAAGUCGAACGGAGUGGCGCCCGGGUGAGUAAUGUAUAGCUAAUCUGCCCUACACUAGAGGACAACAGUUGGAAACGGCUGCUAAUACUCUAUAGUGUAGGAUGAGGCUAUAUUGUAUCAGCUAGUUGGUGAGGUAAUGGCUCACCAAGGCUAUGACGCAUAACUGGUCUGAGAGGAUGAUCAGUAACCCUGGAACUGAGACACGGUACAGACUCCUACGGGAGGCAGCAGUAGGGUAUAUUGCUCAAUGGGGGAAACCUGGAAGCAGAAACGCCUCGUGGAGGAUGACAUUUUUCGGAGCGUAAAAUCCUUUUGUUAGGGAAGCGGUACCUAACGAAUAAGCACCGGCUAACUCCGUGCCAGCCGCCGCGGUAAUUC
rnacentral:rRNA from 1 species